rnacentral:rRNA from 1 species
AUUGAACGCUGGCGGCAGGCCUAACACAUGCAAGUCGAGCGGAUGAAGGGAGCUUGCUCCUGGAUUCAGCGGCGGACGGGCGAGUAAUGCCUAGGAAUCUGCCUGGUAGUGGGGGAUAACGUCCGGAAACGGGCGCUAAUACCGCAUACGUCCUGAGGGAGAAAGUGGGGGAUCUUCGGACCUCACGCUAUCAGAUGAGCCUAGGUCGGAUUAGCUAGUUGGUGGGGUAAAGGCCUACCAAGGCGACGAUCCGUAACUGGUCUGAGAGGAUGAUCAGUCACACUGGAACUGAGACACGGUCCAGACUCCUACGGGAGGCAGCAGUGGGGAAUAUUGGACAAUGGGCGAAAGCCUGAUCCAGCCAUGCCGCGUGUGUGAAGAAGGUCUUCGGAUUGUAAAGCACUUUAAGUUGGGAAGAAGGGCAGUAAGUUAAUACCUUGCUGUUUUGACGUUACCAACAGAAUAAGCACCGGCUAACUUCGUG